GACUAGUUUUACCCUGCCUUGGGCUCGUCAGGAGAACGGCUUCAAUUCCCAACCAGUG
rnacentral:hammerhead_ribozyme from 1 species